UACGUAGGGUGCGAGCGUUGUCCGGAAUUAUUGGGCGUAAAGAGCUCGUAGGCGGUGUGUCGCGUCGGCCGUGAAAACCUGCAGCUUAACUGUGGGCUUGCGGUCGAUACGGGCAUCACUGGAGUUCGGCAGGGGAGACUGGAAUUCCUGGUGUAGCGGUGAAAUGCGCAGAUAUCAGGAGGAACACCGGUGGCGAAGGCGGUCUGCUGGGGUAAUGCUGACACUGAUGCGCGACAGCGUGGGGAGCAAACAGG
rnacentral:rRNA from 1 species